rnacentral:misc_RNA from 1 species
GAUGAAGAACGUAGCGAAAUGCGAUACGUAAUGUGAAUUGCAGAAUUCAGUGAAUCAUCGAGUCUUUGAACGCACAUUGCGCCCCCUGGUAUUCCGGGGGGCAUGCCUGUCCGAGCGUCAUUGCUGCCCUCAAGCACGGCUUGUGUGUUGGGCCUCCGUCCUCCUCCCGGGGGACGGGCCCGAAAGGCAGCGGCGGCACCGCGUCCGGUCCUCGAGCGUAUGGGGCUUCGUCACCCGCUCUUGUAGGCCCGGCCGGCGCUUGCCGACACAUCAAUCUUUUUUCCAGGUUGACCUCGGAUCAGGUAGGGAUACCCGCUGAACUUAAGCAUAUCAAUAAGCGGAGGU